rnacentral:tRNA from 1 species
GGUCCCUGGUGUAGAGGUAGCACAACGCACUUUGGAUGCGUUAGCUCAGGUUCGAUUCCUGGGGGACCA